rnacentral:rRNA from 1 species
GACGAACGCUGGCGGCGUGCCUAAUACAUGCAAGUCGAACGCAGUGGGGACGGGUGAGUAACACGUGGGUAACCUCCCAUCAGAGGGGAUAACACUUGGAAACAGGUGCUAAACCGAUAUUGAUGGAUGGACCCGCGGUGCAUUAGCUAGUUGGUGAGGUAACGGCUCACCAAGGCCACGAUGCAUAGCCACCCGGGGGGGGUGAUCGGCACCACUGGACCUGGGAACCGGCCCAGACCCCUAGGGGGGGCAGCAGAGGGAAAUCUUCGGCAAUGGACGAAAGUCUGACCGAGCAACGCCGGGUGGGUGAGGAAGGUUUCGGAUCGUAAAACUCUGUUGUUAGAGAAGCGGUAUCUAACCAGAAAGCCACGGCUAACUACGUGCCAGCAGCCGCGGUAAUAC